UGGGGAAUAUUGCACAAUGGGCGAAAGCCUGAUGCAGCAACGCCGCGUGAAGGAAGAAGGCCUUUGGGUCGUAAACUUCUGUCCUAGGGGAAGAAGAAAGUGACGGUACCCUUGGAGGAAGCCCGGCUAACUACGUGCCAGCAGCCGCGGUAAUACGUAGGGGCGAAGCGUUAUCCGGAAUUAUUGGGCGUAAAGAGUGCGUAGGUGGUUUUGUAAGCGCGGGGUGAAAGGCAAUGGCUUAACCAUUGUAAGCCCUGCGAACUGUGAGACUUGAGUGCAGGAGAGGAAAGCGGAAUUCCUAGUGUAGCGGUGAAAUGCGUAGAUAUUAGGAGGAACACCAGUGGCGAAGGCGGCUUUCUGGACUGUAACUGACACUGAGGCACGAAAGCGUGGGGAGCAAACAGGAUUAGAUACC
rnacentral:rRNA from 1 species